AUCUUUCGCAAUGGGCGAAAGCCUGACGCAGCCAUGCCGCGUGGAUGAUGAAGGUNUUNNGAUUGNANAAUCCUUUCAGCGGGNNNNNUAAUGACGGUACCCGCAGAAGAAGCCCCGGCUAACUUCGUGCCAGCAGCCGCGGUAAUACGAAGGGGGCUAGCGUUGCUCGGAUUUACUGGGCGUAAAGGGCGCGUAGGCGGACAGUUAAGUCGGGGGUGAAAGCCCGGGGCUCAACCUCGGAAUUGCCUUCGAUACUGGCUGUCUUGAGUGUGAGAGAGGUGUGUGGAACUCCGAGUGUAGAGGUGAAAUUCGUAGAUAUUCGGAAGAACACCAGUGGCGAAGGCGACACACUGGCUCACUACUGACGCUGAGGCGCGAAAGCGUGGGGAGCAAACAGG
rnacentral:rRNA from 1 species